AGCGGGACUGGGAUCUGAUGCUGCCGUACGUACUCUUCGGGAUACGAGAGGUCCCUCAGGCGUCCACCGGCUUUACCCCGUUCGAGCUCCUUUUCGGCCGACAGCCCCGAGGGUUGCUCGAUGUGGCGAAGGAGGCUUGGGAACAACAGCAGCCCACGCCCCAGCGAUCCGUCAUCGAGCACGUCAUCGGGAUGAGGGACAGGAUCGAGCGAGUGAUGCCGUUAGUCCGGGAGCACCUCGCCGCAUCUCAACGAACCCAACAACGCUAUUAUAACCGGGCCGCCCAACCGCGGGAGUUCCAAGCCGGGGAUCGAGUGAUGGUCCUGGUCCCCACCUCCGCCUGCAAGUUCCUUGCAACCUGGCAGGGUCCGUACACGGUGUUAGAAAAAAUUGGCCCGGUGACCUACCGAGUGAGACAACCGGACCGGCGAAAACCAAACCAACUAUAUCAUAUAAACCUGCUGAAAAAAUGGAUAGGGACCAGGGACCAACUCGCCGCUCUUGCCACCACGGAGCCCCUGGUUGUGGAGAUUAACCCCCACCUCUCCGCGGCCCAGAAAACCGACCUACACCAUCUGAUCGGUCAGUUCUCCGACGUGUUCUCCACAACGCCCGGGCAGACCCAGGUGCUCCGGCAUGACAUCCGGACACCCCCAGGGGUCAUUGUUAAGCAACGGCCCUAUCGGAUCCCGGAAGCUCGUCGGCAGGCUAUUGAGACGGAAAUCCAGCAGAUGUUGAAAUUAGGGGUGAUUGAACCAUCGCGCAGCCCAUGGUCCAGCCCAAUUGUUCUGGUUCCCAAACCAGACGGCACCCUCCGCUUCUGCAACGACUUCCGACGCCUAAACGAAGUGUCGGAGUUUGACGGGUACCCAAUGCCUCGGGUGGACGAGCUCCUAGAUCGCCUGGGAAGGGCCCGGUACAUCUCCACUCUGGACCUCACGAAGGGAUACUGGCAGGUACCCCUCUCCGAAAAUGCAAAACCUAAAACGGCUUUCUCUACUCCUAGUGGCCAUUGGCAGUACCGGACCCUUCCGUUCGGCCUACAUGGGGCCCCAGCCACGUUCCAACGGAUGAUGGAUGUCCUGUUACGGCCGCACCAACAGUAUGCCACUGCGUACCUGGACGACGUGGUGAUCCAUUUGGAGCAUUGGGAGGAC
rnacentral:lncRNA from 1 species